UACGGAGGGUGCGAGCGUUGUCCGGAAUCAUUGGGCGUAAAGAGCUCGUAGGCGGUGUGUCGCGUCGGCCGUGAAAACCUGCAGCUUAACUGUGGGCGUGCGGUCGAUACGGGCAUCACUGGAGUCCGGCAGGGGAGACUGGAAUUCCUGGUGUAGCGGUGAAAUGCGCAGAUAUCAGGAGGAACACCGGUGGCGAAGGCGGGUCUCUGGGCCGAUACUGACGCUGAGGAGCGAAAGCGUGGGGAGCGAACAGG
rnacentral:rRNA from 1 species